AAUUUCUGAACUUUAGCCUUUGGGCGUUUGAGUUCAGCUGAGGCUUUUUCCACAAAGCCUAAACCAGAUAUGGUUCCAGACUUCUGUCCAACCUUUAGGAUCUCUUCCAAGGUGUCAGUUCCUUUAAUCAACAUUCUGAUGGAUUUAGUCAUUUGAUCCAGCUUGGAGGUCAGCAAGGUUAUCUCACCAUUUAUACCCUCUAUGACUGUUAGAUGCUUC
rnacentral:lncRNA from 1 species